AACGCACAUUGCACCUUCUGGCUCUGUCAGAAGGUAUACUUGUUUGAGUAUCGUAUAACUUUCUCUCUCGGAUCUCUUCUCGAAGCGAUCACCAAACGAGAGGACCUGAGAGUCUUGCUCUUUUGAAUUUUAUAAUUCAAAAUCUAUGCUAGUCUCUUUAAAUGUAUGUCUGGCUAAGGUCUCUAGUCUCGGUUCAUGGCUUCGCUUCGGCGAGAUCUGAACGGUCUAAUGGGAUAACAUCCAAUCAUUAGUCUACUAGACCCCCUUACUAAUGCAGGCAAUUGAUCAUACCUGUACAUUUAUAGCAGUAACAUGCAUAAAUGAACGGUAUAUUUCUUCAUUUUACCGAUCUCAAAUCAAGUAGGAUUACCCGCUGAACUUAA
rnacentral:misc_RNA from 1 species